GUGAGGAAUAUUGGUCAAUGGGCGAGAGCCUGAACCAGCCAAGUCGCGUGAAGGAAGAAGGAUCUAUGGUUCGUAAACUUCUUUUGCAGGGGAAUAAAGUGCAGGACGUGUCCUGUUUUGUAUGUACCCUGAGAAUAAGGAUCGGCUAACUCCGUGCCAGCAGCCGCGGUAAUACGGAGGAUCCGAGCGUUAUCCGGAUUUAUUGGGUUUAAAGGGUGCGUAGGUGGUUUGAUAAGUCAGCGGUGAAAGCUUGCAGCUUAACUGUAAAAAUGCCGUUGAAACUGUCGGACUUGAGUGUAAAUGAGGUAGGCGGAAUGCGUGGUGUAGCGGUGAAAUGCAUAGAUAUCACGCAGAACUCCGAUUGCGAAGGCAGCUUACUAAGCUACAACUGACACUGAAGCACGAAAGCGUGGGGAUCAAACAGGAUUAGAAACCCGGGUAGUCC
rnacentral:rRNA from 1 species